rnacentral:rRNA from 1 species
GACAGAGGUCCCGAGCGUUAGGCGGAAUCACUGGGCUUAAAGCGUGUGUAGGCGGCGGCCUAAGUACCUUGUGAAAUCCCACGGCUCACCCGUGGAACUGCUUGGUAUACUGGGUCGCUUGAGCCACUUAGGGGCUACCGGAACAAAUGGUGGAGCGGUGAAAUGCGUAGAUAUCAUUUGGAACGCCAAUGGUGAAAACAGGUAGCUGGGAGUGUGCUGACGCUGAGACAUGAAAGCCAGGGGAGCAAACGGG